rnacentral:rRNA from 1 species
CUACACGACCGUACCGCAAACCGACACUGGUGCGCGAGAUGAGUAUUCUAAGGCGCUUGAGAGAACUCAGGAGAAGGAACUCGGCUAAUUGACACCGUAACUUCGGAAGAAGGUGUGCCUUUAGUAGGUGAACCUGUACAAGGGGAGCCCAAUGAGGUUGCAAAAAAUCGGUGGCUGCGACUGUUUAAUAAAAACACAGCACUCUACAAACACGAAAGUGGACGUAUAGGGUGUGACGCCUGCCCGGUGCUGGAAGAUUAAAUGACGGGGUGCAAGCUCUUGAUUGAAGUCCCAGUAAACGGCGGCCGUAACAAUAACGGUCCUAAGGUAGCGAAAUUCCUUGUCGGGUAAGUUCCGACCUGCACGAAUGGCGUAACGAUGGCCACACUGUCUCCUCCUGAGACUCAGCGAAGUUGAAAUGUUUGUGAUGAAGCAAUCUCCCCGCGGAAAGACGGAAAGACCCCAUGAACCUUUACUGUAGCUUUGUAUUGGACUUUGAACAGAUCUGUGUAGGAUAGGUGGGAGGCUUUGAAGUGUGGUCGCUAGAUCGCAUGGAGCCAACGUUGAAAUACCACCCUGGUGUGUUUGAGGUUCUAACCUAGGCCCGUAAUCCGGGUCGGGGACAGUGCAUGGUAGGCAGUUUGACUGGGGCGGUCUCCUCCCAAAGCGUAACGGAGGAGUUCGAAGGUACGCUAGGUACGGUCGGACAUCGUGCUAAUAGUGCAAUGGCAUAAGCGUGCUUAACUGCGAGACUGACAAGUCGAGCAGAUGCGAAAGCAGGACAUAGUGAUCCGGUGGUUCUGUAUGGAAGGGCCAUCGCUCAACGGAUAAAAGGUACUCUGGGGAUAACAGGCUGAUACCGCCCAAGAGUUCAUAUCGACGGCGGUGUUUGGCACCUCGAUGUCGGCUCAUCUCAUCCUGGGGCUGUAGCCGGUCCCAAGGGUAUGGCUGUUCGCCAUUUAAAGAGGUACGUGAGCUGGGUUUAAAACGUCGUGAGACAGUUUGGUCCCUAUCUUCCGUGGGCGCUGCAGAUUUGAGGAAGCCUGCUCCUAGUACGAGAGGUCCGGAGUGGACACACCUCUGGUGUAUCGGUUGUCACGCCAGUGGCAUUGCCGAGUAGCUAUAUGUGGAAGAGAUAACCGCUGAAAGCAUCUAAGCGGGAAACUCGUUUCAAGAUGAGAUCUGCCGGGGCCUUGAGCCCCCUAAAGAGUCGUUCAAGACCAGGACGUUGAUAGGUCGGGUGUGGAAGCGCAGUAAUGCGUUAAGCUAACCGAUACUAAUUGCUCGUGCGGCUUGACCC